GCUGGGCAUGGUGGUGCAUGCCUGUAAUCCCAGUGGCUCAGGAGACUGAGGCAGGAGAAUCACAAGUUAGUGAAGCUCUAAGCAACUUAGUGAGACCCUGUCUCAA
rnacentral:sRNA from 1 species